UAUUCCCACAUGGGCUAUAACCAUGACUAAUGAUAUGAAAAACCAUCGUUGUACUUCAACUAUAAGAAU
rnacentral:tRNA from 1 species